GGGGAUUUAGCUCAGUGGUAGAGCGCUUGCGCUUAGCAAGCGCAAGGCCCUGGGUUCGGUCCCCAGCUCCG
rnacentral:tRNA from 1 species